UACGGAGGAUGCGAGCGUUAUCCGGAUUUAUUAGGUUUAAAGGGUGUGUAGGCGGAAGAUUAAGUCAGUGGUGAAAUCUCACAGCUCAACUGUGAAACUGCCAUAGAUACUGGUUUUCUUGAGUACAGUUGAAGUAGGCGGAAUGUGUAAUGUAGCGGUGAAAUGCUUAGAUAUUACACAGAACACCGAUUGCGAAGGCAGCUUGCUAAGCUGUUACUGACGCUGAUGCACGAAAGCGUGGGGAGCGAACAGG
rnacentral:rRNA from 1 species